rfam:Psychrobacter sp. PRwf-1, complete genome.
GGGGAUGUUCUGGCUUCGACGCUGGUGAUGAAACUCAAUGAUGCAUGUCGAGAGUAUAUGUCCUCUCGUUAAUCAAACAUAUAUUGUUAUAGUCGCAAACGACGAAACUUACGCUCUAGCAGCUUAAACCCUGCUUACUCCUCUGCCCUUUACCCAUAGUGGGUUAGACGAGUUGAAGCGCACGCAUAUGGGUUCGCUUAAAUGAUUGCCUUAAUCAUUUAGGUUCAAACUUAAAGGAUCGCCCUAUCCAACCUGACUGUCGGUUCGGUGCGGGUUAAAGCCAAAGACAGACCCUAAACAUGUAGAUUCAUGAGCGUAGUGCUGGCGGACGCGGGUUCAACUCCCGCCAUCUCCACCA